UCUCUCCGACUCCGACUCUCCCUCUCUCGCCUCUCGGUCUCUCCGACUCCGACUUCUCCUUCUCUUCUCCGGCGAAUCCCCCCCUGUGCUCUGCCCCUCUGUGCUCCUGCCGCCCUACGUCAGUGUGCUCUCCGCCUCUCCGCCUGUAGCUGUUCCGGGCUCCUCUCAAGUUUCGAUAGGUCUUUCAGCGGGUGCUUGGGCAGCUGACGACGAAUGGCGGUUGAGGAUGGACGGCAGCUGGCAACUAGUGACGACGACGACUGGAGACGGACUGCGAGUGGGCGACGCCGAUGGCAGGUUUUUCUUUUGUUAGUUUGUUUGUUCCCUUUUGAUUUUAGGGUUCCCAUCUCCUUUAUUGUUGCAGGAUUUCUUCUUCUCUCUAGUUUCCCAAAAUUGAUGGCGCAUUCUGGCGGAAUUUCCUGCUCCCUGUUCAUGUUGUACUGUCGUGUUUUGAGCUUUUUCCCUUUUCUUGAUACAUUCAGUUCUCAACUUUGAUUUCCUGCUCCCUGGUAUGUUCGUUUUCUUUUUUCUCUGAAAACUGUAACUUGCAAUGCUUGAAAUAGACUACCUGCUCCCUAUUGAUGCCAUGUUCUGUUAUGUGUGCCUUUUUGUUAGGCUUCAUUCCCCUGUGCUUCAUACAUGUUCCCUUGUCUGCUUCCAUUUGAUUUCAUGUGUGGCUUUCUGUUAGAUUCUCUUCCAUUUGCUUCAUAUGCGGAACACAUGUGGUUUUGCAUAUGCCCUUGUCGAGUUUUCAGACAUGUUCAUUAAUUUGAUUAUAACUUAUAAGUUAUGCACUAUGUAGCUUACGAUUGUUGUUGACUUGUUGUUAUAUCAAUGUUGUUUUAUGUUUUUCAAGUACAUUUAAGUCACUUGCUUGUUUAAUUAUUAUUGUUAUGUUAUAGUAUGGCUGCCUCAAGUAAAGGGAAGGGAAGUACCUUUACACCUACAAGUUCAAGUUGUGCAUUGAGAGCUUCAUUACAGUCACAAGAGGACCAGCCACAUAGCUAAUUGACUGCCGUUCAUCCUAAUUUUCUCAGUCUGAGCAUGUUGUUAGCAUAUGUAUCAGAAAAGGAGGUGUAGAUACUGGCCAAGGACACAAUGAAUGGUUGGCUACAAUUCCACGCACUCCAGAUGUAAUUUCAAUAUCCUUUGUGCCUAUUUAAUACUUGUUUGAGUUCUUUCUCACUAUUGUUGGUGAUAGGAAGCUGAGUAAGGUUGUUCAGGGAAAUGUUAAGGAGCUGCUGUAUUAUGCUGUUGCUUUUCUGCAAAUGACUGAAGAGCAUGUAGGUUUUGAUCUCACAAGUGCAUCCAUAUUCUAUACUUUACUCAAAGAUCCAGUAAGAGAUGACAAGACUAUCAAGGUGUGGGAUGCGGUUACUGGUGCUAAACAAUAUACGUUUGAGUCAUGAAGCUCCUGUUUAGGCACUUGCUUCAAAAGGGUAUGUUAAUCGACAUACCCUCAAAAGGGUGCUGAAAGGGUAUGGCACAUGCGUGCUUCAGGUUGAUUGCUUCCAUGCUCUACGAAGAAGUGAUCCACCAUUUGUCUCUUCGGCAUCUUUCCUGCAGCAAGGAUUAUUUUCAUUUGUACGAUAACAAUAGCUUGGUUAAUUAUGUUGUUACAAGUUGAUUAUGAUAUCUUCACAUUCUUUAUUUUCAUAUUAUAUGGCUUGAAGAUGAUUCUAUUAUUUAUAUUUU